AUUUCAAUGAUUUUGGGUUUUUUUGAGACACCCUGUAUUGUAGCAUUGUACAGGGUGUCCCAAAAAACCCCGAAAACCAUUGAAAUCACU